AUUCGAUUAGAGUUUGAUCCUGGCUCAGGAUGAACGCUAGCGGUAGGCUUAACACAUGCAAGUCGAGGGGCAGCACGGGUAGCAAUAUCUGGUGGCGACCGGCGCACGGGUGAGUAACGCGUAUGCAACCUACCUGUAACUGGAAAAUAGCCCCCGGAAACGGGGAUUAAUGUUCCAUAAUGUUCGGGAUCCGCAUGAAUCCCGGACUAAAGCUCCGGCGGUUACGGAUGGGCAUGCGUGACAUUAGCUAGUUGGUGAGGUAACGGCUCACCAAGGCUACGAUGUCUAGGGGGUCUAAAAGGAUGAUCCCCCACACUGGUACUGAGACACGGACCAGACUCCUACGGGAGGCAGCAGUGGGGAAUAUUGGUCAAUGGGCGCAAGCCUGAACCAGCCAAGCCGCGUGCAGGAUGACGGCCCUAUGGGUUGUAAACUGCUUUUGUACGGAAAGAACCCCCCCGACGUGUCGGGGGCUGACGGUACUGUACGAAUAAGCAUCGGCUAACUCCGUGCCAGCAGCCGCGGUAAUACGGAGGAUGCAAGCGUUAUCCGGAUUUACUAGGUAUAAAGGGUGCGUAGGCGGGUUUGUAAGUCAGUGGUGAAAUCCUACAGCUUAACUGUAGAACUGCCAUUGAUACUGCAAGUCUUGAGUACAAUUGAGGUAGGCGGAAUGUGUGGUGUAGCGGUGAAAUGCUUAGAUAUCACACAGAACACCGAUUGCGAAGGCAGCUUACUAAACUGUAACUGACGCUGAGGCACGAAAGCAUGGGGAGCAAACAGGAUUAGAUACCCUGGUAGUCCAUGCUGUAACGAUGAUCACUCGCUGUAUGUCCAUUAGGUAUGCGGCUGAGCUACGCAUUAGUGAUCACUGGGGAGUACGCCGCAACGCUGAACUCAAGGAUUGACGGGGACCGCACAGCGAGGAACUGUGAUUAUCGAUGAUAGCGCGAGGAUCUUACCUG
rnacentral:rRNA from 1 species